rnacentral:tRNA from 1 species
GGGGCUAUGGUGUAGCUUGGCUAUCACUAGUGGUUUGGGGCCACUCAACCGCGGUUCGAAUCCGCGUAGCCCCA